rnacentral:rRNA from 1 species
AACGAACGCUGGCGGCAUGCCUAACACAUGCAAGUCGAACGAGACCUUCGGGUCUAGUGGCGCACGGGUGCGUAACGCGUGGGAACCUGCCUUUAGGUUCGGAAUAACUCAGAGAAAUUUGAGCUAAUACCGGAUGAUGUCUUCGGACCAAAGAUUUAUCGCCUUUAGAUGGGCCCGCGUUGGAUUAGCUAGUUGGUGGGGUAAAGGCCUACCAAGGCGACGAUCCAUAGCUGGUCUGAGAGGAUGAUCAGCCACACCGGGACUGAGACACGGCCCAGACUCCUACGGGAGGCAGCAGUGGGGAAUAUUGGACAAUGGGCGAAAGCCUGAUCCAGCAAUGCCGCGUGAGUGAUGAAGGCCUUAGGGUUGUAAAGCUCUUUUACCCGAGAUGAUAAUGACAGUAUCGGGAGAAUAAGCUCCGGCUAACUCCGUG